AGAACCUUACCUGGGCUCGAAAUGCUAUGGACCGGGGUGGAAACAUCCCUUCCCCGCAAGGGGCCGUAGUAUAGGUGCUGCAUGGCUGUCGUCAGCUCGUGUCGUGAGAUGUUGGGUUAAGUCCCGCAACGAGCGCAACCCUUACUUCCAGUUGCCACCAUUUAGUUGGGCACUCUGGCAGAACCGCCUCGGAUAACGGGGAGGAAGGUGGGGAUGACGUCAAGUCCUCAUGGCCUUUAUGUCCAGGGCUACACACGUGCUACAAUGGCCGGUACAAACCGUCGCAAACCCGUGAGGGGGAGCUAAUCGGAAAAAGCCGUCCUCAGUUCGGAUUGCAGUCUGCAACUCGACUGCAUGAAGCUGGAAUCGCUAGUAAUCGCGGAUCAGAACGCCCGCGGUGAAUACGUUCCCGGGCCUUGUCACACCGA
rnacentral:rRNA from 1 species